CUUGCUCUCCAUUCUGAUUUGCCCCUCUAGCUGCUGCUGGAAGCUCCUGUUUGAAGCCAAUGCUGUUCAUGCUUUUAAGGUAAUGAUUACUGUUUUUAAGUACUGGAUUAAAAGCUAAUGUGUUAGUAUUUCUUAUCUUUUGUGUUUAAUGACUGUUUGUUUUAUUAGGAUCAGUUCCUGACUAUUGCCUUGAUUUUAUGUACGGUAGGCCCAGCCAUUUGGGUUUUAAGGCCCCUUGGAUGUGUGGAUUUAUGCAGUGGUGUUCAGUUGCAUAAAGAGCCCUGUGUUUUAAUUGAAUAACUAUAUUCUUGAUUUGGUACCAAUGUUUUAAUGAAAGUAAAAAUAAAUGUGAAUGAGAUUUCUAUUUUGUGUGGAAAAUAAAUUAAUUGUUUUGGAAACUUG